ACGGGGCUUGGAGCUACCUGGGAUAGUGGAAGGUGUCCCUCCCAAUGGCAGGGGGUGGAAAAAGAUGAGCUUUAAGGUCCCUUCCAACCCAAACAGGCCUGCAAUUCUGUGAUUCUGCAGGCAGCACACCCAGCUGGGGUUUAGCUCGGCCCAAGCCAGCGGCAGCUUUGCUGGUCUGUGUUGGAGCUUUCCAGCUGGGACAGCAGCAGCUCCUGGGGCAGAAGAGGCACAGCAGAACCCCCAUCUCUGCUGCUGGGGGUUUAUCAGCUAGGUAAGCGUCUUUCAGCACCCUGGAGGCUUAAACCCAGGAAUGUGCUUAUCAGCUAAUGGAGACUGGGCCCACUUUGGAGCACUUGCAAUUUUAAAUUGACUUGAUCUCUCCUUUUUCUCCCCAGCAUAAAACUGCAGCCCCGUUCUGGUGCAGGCAGCCAGCGGGUAAGUGCUGCAGAAGCUCCCCAAGCAAGUGCAUCUCCUCCGUGUGUAGGAGUAGCUGCUGACUGGGAGCAGCCCCAUUUCCAAGAACUCCCCAAAGUUACAAUCCUUCACGUCUUGCUGAAUCAGUGCAAGAUCCAGAGCAGCUCAGGGAAACAAAGAUCCAGGUCUCUGCAGCUGUGAAUCAGUGCUGAACACGAGUAUCUCCAUCCCCUCCUCCUGGAGAUGCUGUCUGUGACUCCUGCACGCACGCCUGGCCCUAAUGAAAGGCCCCGGUGCCUCCCCAUCGCCCAGCCAGUUAAACCUGCACAAACUGAGCCCAUCACACACAAAAAGCCUCUCCUGGGUAUCCCCCAGGGUUCAGCCCUGCUCCCUUUCUACAUGGCCUCUCCAUGCUGCAAGAAGAGCUUUCUUCAAGCUCACAGUGUGCCCAGCACAGCAUCCCAGGGAACCCUGCCACCAAAUCCCAGUGAAUCCUGCCAGAGCAUCCCAGUGAAUGCUGCCACCAAAUCCCAGUGAACCCUGCAGCUGCAUCCCAGUGAAUCCUGCCAGAGCAUCCCAGUGAAUGCUGCCACCAAAUCCCAGUGAAUCCUGCAGCUGCAUCCCAGAGAAUGCUGCCAGAGCAUCCCAGUGAACCCUGCCAUGGCAUCCUGGCGAUCCCUGGCACACCAUCCUGGCUAUCCCUGGCACAGAAUCCCAGCCAACCCUGCCAUGGCAUCCUGGCUAUCCCCAGAACACCAUCCAGUUGCCCCUGCCAGCUCCCAGCUGGGAUCAUCACCCACCCAGAGUGUGGCAGUGCCAUUUCACACUGUGGCAGUGCCAUUUCACCCACCCAGAGUG
rnacentral:lncRNA from 1 species